rnacentral:lncRNA from 1 species
UGUGAGCGAGUGAGGGCGUGGGCCUGAGAGCGUCCGCGGGACUGUGCGACUGUCGCUGCCCCGCCUUCCCCGCCCCCUCUCCAUUCCCCCUUCUCUGCCCCCCUUUGCCACACUCCUUAGACAGGGACGGGCGACCUAGAACGAGGUUCCCAUACCGUCUUUUGAAAAGCAAAACUUGGUCUCUGUUUUGCCUUUUGUUUUAUUGUUUUUAGCUUUAAAGAGUAAGAGCAGCGCACCCGGCUCCCUCCUGCUAAUUAGACUUCAGAUCCCUCUCUGGCCUCAGUGCUCAUUCUGGGGAAGACACCUGCUGAGAUGUCUUUUUCCCCCUCCCUCAACCAAACCACUUAGGUCCUGCCUGCUCUUUCCCGGCUGGAUGCGAGCGUGUUUUCCUGUAUGUAUUUUUUCAUGCGGCCACAAACAGCAUCAGCUGGGGUUCCCGAAGGUCAGAAAAUGGCUAUUGAUUAAUCUAUUAGAAUAGUUGCCGAGAGAAAUAAAAACGACGUAAAAUAACAGGGACCCUAUAAAUAAAGAAGCCAUAACUGGCUACUUGGAGUUGUUGAACGACUUAGCAUAUGAAAAAAUCGGAAAUGAGGCGCUGGGGAAGGAGCCGGCAUUGGCAGCGGCCCGGGUGUAGACAAAUCCUCCCAAGAUUUAACUUCCAAGGAAACCAGCGGCGGAGCGGUUGGAGGAGGCGAGGAUGUGUGGCCAGCGCACGCGGAGUGCAAGGCAAGUUGCACCGGCCCUAAAACGCAUCUCAGAGUUGAUUUCUGUAGCUUCACAGCUUUGUGGCCCGCAGGCUUCGAACCGUUUACCGUGCCGUCUAGACAGCCUUCCGCGAAACCGACCCGGGCUGAGCUGGCUGGCCACCGCCCGGAACUGCAGAGUUCGCGGUUGCAACUGCCUCAGCAACCGAAGGAGGGUCGGAAGGUCCAAAAAAAAAAAAAAAAAGAAAAUCCUGAAAUUUACACAUUCAGGAACUUCCUGUGCUCUGCUUGGGUUGCCCAGCCCUAGAGGCAGGGGCGCGGGGCGCAGCGCUGGCCCUGCCGCGGCCUUGGUGGCUUGGCCCGCGUGGACAAGUAAGUGUGG